rnacentral:rRNA from 1 species
UACGUAGGGUGCAAGCGUUAAUCGGAAUUACUGGGCGUAAAGCGUGCGCAGGCGGUUUUGUAAGUCUGUCGUGAAAUCCCCCGGGCUCAACCUGGGAAUUGCGAUGGAGACUGCAAGGCUAGAAUCUGGCAGAGGGGGGGUAGAAUUCCACGUGUAGCAGUGAAAUGCGUAGAGAUGUGGAGGAAUACCGAUGGCGAAGGCAGCCCCCCUGGGAUAACACUGACGCUCAUGCACGAAAGCGUGGG